rnacentral:tRNA from 1 species
GUUGAGAUGGCCGAGUUGGUCUAAGGCGCCAGAUGAAGCUUCUGGUCCGUAAGGGCGUGGGUUCAAAUCCCACUCUAAACA